CCGCGCCCUGGUGACAGCUCGCGCGUGCUGAUGAUGGCGGAGUGAUGCAGACUGCAAUGUCUGGGGGCCGCUGAGAGGUUCAGCAGGGAAGGGCGCUGGCCGCCAGCCCACCCACCUGAUUCACUCCUUGGAACCCACAUGGAGCAUCUGAUCCCAGAGCAGGAGCCUUUAGUCAAGUUCACCUGCCACCAAUCAUGGUACACUUGAAGCCACCCUUCAUUUUCCAAGUCCUUUAGCACUGUGGCCUGCCCUCCCAAGCUGACACCCCUGGAAAAAGUUGUCCAACACUCUGUCAUGUCCUUGCGACCUUGGAGCAUGUGGGAGCCUAAGUCCCCUAAGCUGGUCCAGGUGAGAGUCCUACUGGUGAUAUGAGGCCCGCAUCUCGGGAACAUUCCAUUGAGGCGGGGAGAAGAGGCAUGCUGAAAUUAAGUAGUAGGCACUUGUCUUUAACUCUGUCCCCUUGCCAGGAAAUGAUGUUUAUUUGGGGCCAAAGAAACUCCCCCUACCCCACGAAAGGAGAAGCAGGAAUUCCUGGGCUCAUCGCAGCAAGUUAUCAGGAGCAUUAUCUUAGGGAAAAAUAAAUAAAACAACAAAUCCACAUUUUCCUAGAUGACACAGCUCUUGCAGCUGCUUAAACUAAACUCUGAAACCCUUCUCCAAGGCCUGAGGCAUAAAAUGAAGAGAGGAACUUUGGUAUACUGGGCUUUGGGGCACAGCAGGUGUGCACAGCAGCUGAGGAAAAAGCCCCCUAGUUGAAUGAGGUCAGGCUGACCUGCAUUUCAAUUAAGGGCUGACUACAUAUGGGAA
rnacentral:lncRNA from 1 species